rnacentral:lncRNA from 1 species
UUUUUUUUUUUUUUUUUUUAACAACCACUCUUUUGAAUCAAGUCUAGAAGGAACCUGAUUGGAAUGUUCACGUGGUAACACCUGUCAUUACACUAAGAUCUUAAUAUUAAUAUUUGUUGAAUGAUACUGAGGAGAAAGGAGUGUGGGUUAAAAAUCAGAUGUUACCAUUGUUGAACAUGCAGUUAGUGCUCUUUUCUGGUUCAACACAAAUAAUACCUAAAACAAUAAAAUCUGAAUAUUUAGAGGGUUUAAUAUAUUCAUUUAAAAACAUCUCAACCCCAAGGUUCACAUAUUACUUGCUAAAACUGAUGGUUAUCACCUUGUAUUUUACAAAAGAUUUUACUUAUUUAUUUCUAUCUAUCUGAGAGAGACAGACAGACAGAGACAGCCAGAGUAGAAGGGGUAGAGGAAGGAGAAAGAAAAUCCCAAGUAGACUCCACGAUGAGCAUGGAGCCCAACGUAGGGCUUGAUCCCCAGGACCCUGAAAUCAUGACUUAAGCUGAAAUCAAGAGUCUGAUGCUUAACCCAGAUGCCCCUCUGUUAUCACCUUUUAAAUUGCUAUUUGGUUCAAGAGCAUGUCAAUCUGAGGUACAUUUUACACCCCUGCUUCCAAACUGCUCAUAUUUCUUAAAAUUAUAAGCAUUAUGUUGCUCAUCAAGAGAUUAAGAUUAGUUUUUCUCUCUAUUCCUCUAAAUUGGCCUGCUAGCUAGAAGACGGAUUUCUUUUGUUUCCUGCUAUAUACCAGAUGCCUAAGACAGGACCAGGCACAGGGUGGUCAACAAACACAUGAUGGAUUGAUGGCUGAAUGAAUGAGUGAAUAAAUGAGUGAAUGAAUGAAUGAAUGAAUGAAUGAACAAACAUACUUCUCCAGCUUCUUGACCCCGAGUUCCUACUCAAGCACUUUAAUGUUCCUUAGUACUUUGCAUUUUAAGUUUACGAAAUAUAAGCUCAGUGUUUUCAAAUGGCCACUCCUAUUCUAUGUGUUAUAUUUAUAACAAGGAAAUUAAACACAUUGCCCUGAGAGGAAAUAUUCCACAAGUCAGCAUUUAACAAUGGAAAAUCUUUUACUUGAAUCAAUGGUCUGAAACUUCAACUAUCUAAUACUCCACUGGCCAAAUCAAUCUCUCAUUUUUCACCCUGAGUCUCUGUGAGUAGGUGCUGUAUUGUUGUUAUCAAAUGCCUUUUGGAGUGAGUCACUGCUGACCACCAUGUUUACUCAUUUGGUCUCUUCUCAGUAUUAGAUUUUUUAAAACAACAACAAACAGAAAAGGAAUGACAACCCACAAGUUCUCUUACUUUAAGAAGAAAAAGCACCACAGAAAUAUUUUUACAAUGAGCAAGAAGCACAUUAUUCCAACAGUAUUUUUAAUAUAAGGGUCAAAAAAAAAUAAGAUGAAAUAAACCAAAUGAGGUCAAAGGUAAAUAAAAUUUAAACUUUUAAAGCCAGGAUACAGGGUGAUUUCUUUUUUAAAUCCCUAUUUCUCCUAGGCCUACUGGCAGAUAUUAGUAAUUUCAGAUUUUAUGUCAUCUUCAAAUUAAACAAGUCGGUUUUUUUGUUUGUUUUUGAAGUAAAAACAGAGUUAGAAAAACACCAGAGCUACCUCUUGAUCAUCCGGCUGAAGGAAAUGAACUGCUGCCGUGUUCCUAACCAUCUGCCUCACCUCCUGCCCUUGGUCUUUCAAAGACCAUCCACCGGGGAUCCCUGGGUGGCUCCGCGGUCUAGCGCCUGCCUUUGGCCCCGGCGCGAUCCGAUCGGGGACUGCGGGGCUGCGGGGCUGCGGGAUCCAGGGCGGGAUCCAGUCCUCGGGCUCCCUGCAGGGGGCCCGCUUCCCCCCCUCGGGUCUCUGCCUCUCUCUGUGAGCAUCAUGAAUAAAUAAAUCUUAAAAAAAAUUAAAAUAAUAAAAGCCAACCCACAGGACAAACUGUGCUCUUCAUCCAUUUCCAAAGGCCUCAUUUGCCGGUCAGUCCUACUACUUUAGUACUCGAUGGGGAGGCCGCAAGUGGGAGUGGCUGAAAAAAUCCUACACCCUCAGAGACACAGGUCUGUGCGCAGAAUUAAGAACGUGCUCAUAAACAAAGCAGCAUCUUGAGACAACAGCAGAAAGGAACACUAACCAGGAAGCUGGAGGGCUACUCUCAGCACCAAGCCUUGGCGGUAAUUACCUAGUUUUACUCAUUAGUUCACUCAGGGGCAUGGGGCAUGGCGCACGCGCACCUGGAGCACAAGGAGCCGGAGGAGGAAUCCGCAGCGGCCGCCGGCGGAGGUGACGUCACCCGGGCAGCCAGCCGCAGCCCCGACCCCGACCCCGACCCCGCAGCAUCGCUCACAGGCACGGGGCGGCGGUGCGGGGCCCACCGUGGGUGUGCUCUCAGGGGCUUUAACCACGCACGCAGUGAGGCUAGUGGUGUGUAGGAAGGAAGCAUUUCUAACUAGCCUGGAUCCUCUAUGAAAAUGUUGAGGGGGAAAGGUGGCCAUAAAAUCAAAUUAUAUAAAUGUCAUUUUUACUAAGGCAUAAAGACAUCAAAAUAUAAUGUACUGCUUAUAUUUUUAUGUAAAUAUAUAACUGCCAUUCAAACAUAUAAAAUGCAUGUCAAGUGAAUUAAAUACCAAGAAUAUGGGCAUGCUCACAGACCACCACACGGAAUACAGAUGGGGUUUCAUAGUGCAGUACUGUAAUUUUUACCUAAACCUUUAUGGCUAUAAUAACUGUCAGACUGGUUAAUUUAUCCCUUCACAUAAUUUUAGAAGCAAGAGUCCGUAAUGUAACAUCAUACUCUUAAGGAAGAAAAAGCAGCAUAAGUUUGAUUGAUCCAAGGAAGUAAAGGGCAUUUCAACUUAAAAUAGCUCUGGCUUUUUAAUGUCCUGAGCACAAAACACAGAGGACAAACCAAAAUAACCAAAAGACCAUUAACAAAAAAUAUUUUUAAACUAUUACAUAUAUUUUAAUGUAAAUGAAAUAAUGAAUUUUUAAUUUUGAUGAUCUUAAGUAUGUCUUAGCUACGUAUUCAAGUUUAAUUAAAAACUAUAACAGACCAAUGGAAGGGAAUAUUCUAAUAGUCAAAAAAGUAGUAUUAUUAUUAAAGGGGAUUUUACUGUCCUACAAUCUCAUACACCAAAAAGAACCAUGUACCAGAUGUGCUGUUCAUCUUUGUACCCCCAAGGACCGGCCAUGGCUAAGCAUAGAGAAACUUCAUCCUCAUGUUGGCCUAACACCAAAAGAAAGAACACAUACAUCUGUGCCUCUAAGAGUAUCAGGAGAUGCCUGUGGGGAAAGCGUCCACACUGUACUCUGGGACUCCAGUCACCCAUCCUAAGCCACAUGUAUCCACACAGAUAUAGACAUGUGCCUACUUAUUCUGUGAUACCUACUCCAAGGAAGGCUUGCUGUAUGUAAAGAAGCAGCCUCUCUGAAAAGCUAGUUAGAAACUUAGUUUGUAUCAAAUGAUCCACAGAGAUACAACUGAUAGAAAUUGAUCACUGUCAAAUGAAAUGAUUUAGAUCAAAUCAUCCAAGAUUGACUGCUAAAAGAAACC